UGAGGUUUUUUCAGUGUUGGAGCUAAACUCUGCAGGACAUCGGCACUCAAGGACCGAUGUUGCCUUCCCCUGGUCUAGAUGCUUCGUCUUUAUGCAAGUGGAUUUAUGACGUAAUGGGGAAACUCAGUGAAGUUCUUACCAGUCUGCAGGGCCUGCUGCUCCUUAAGAAGAUUCAGUUCCACCACAACGUCAUCGAUCUGCUGUUUGUUCUGCUGGUGUGAGGUGUGUGUGAGGAGCAGCACGACUCCCAGCAGAAGACAGCCGUCUCUGAGUCUCAUGGUGAAGUCUGGAGAAUGAGGAGAGAUCUCUGCUUCUCAGCUCAGCUCACAGAGGAAAACUGCUGAAGAAGCAAAGCCAUUAUGGGAUGGAAUAUAUCCAUAUGGCUCACAGCAGCUGGAUCUUCUUCAGACAACACGUGGCAGACGAGACGUCCUGCUGGACACCAGUGUGAGCACAACAUCAUCCCAGGAAAAAAUGACAACUACUGCACCUGUGAACUUACACAAGUCUAUCAAUAUUCAUAAAAUGUA